UUGACCAUUCCCAGUUUAUACUGGAUUACUU
rnacentral:piRNA from 1 species